CGGUAAUACGGAGGAUCCAAGCGUUAUCCGGAAUCAUUGGGUUUAAAGGGUCCGUAGGCGGUCAGAUAAGUCAGUGGUGAAAGCCCAUCGCUCAACGGUGGAACGGCCAUUGAUACUGUCUGACUUGAAUUAUUAGGAAGUAACUAGAAUAUGUAGUGUAGUGGUGAAAUGCUUAGAGAUUACAUGGAAUACCAAUUGCGAAGAUAGGUUACUACUAAUGGAUCGACGCUGAUGGACGGAAGCGUGGGUAGCGAACAGGAUUAGAUACCCUGGUAGUCCACGCCGUAAACGAUGGAUACUAGCUGUUGGGAGCAAUCUCAGUGGCUAAGCGGAAGUGAUAAGUAUCCCACCUGGGGAGUACGUUC
rnacentral:rRNA from 1 species